rnacentral:snRNA from 1 species
UUGCUUCAGCAGCAGCACAUGUACUAAAAUUGGGAUGAUACAGAGAAGAUUAACAUGGCCCCUGAGCAAGAUGACAUGCAAAUUCGUGAAGUGUUCCAUAUUUAA